GCCGGGCACGGUGGCGCGUGCCUGUAGUCCCAGCUACUCAGGAGGCUGAGGUGGGAAGAUCGCUUGAGCCCAGGAGUUCUGGGCUGCAGUGCACUAUGCAGAUCGGGUGUCCGCACUAAGUUCGGCAUCAAUAUGGUGACCUCCCAGGAGCGGGGGACCACCAGGUUGCCUAAGGAGGGGUGAACCGGCCCAGGUCGGAAAUGGAGCAGGUCAAAACUCCCGUGCUGAUCAGUAGUGGGAUCGCGCCUGUGAAUAGCCACUGCACUCCAGCCUGGGCAACAUAGCGAGACCCUGUCUCU
rnacentral:SRP_RNA from 1 species